UACGAGGGGGGCAAAUGUUGUUCGGAAUCACUGGGCGUAAAGGGAGCGUAGGCGGGCUUCUAAGUUAGGUGUUUAAUCCCAGGGCCCAACCCUGGUCAGGCACCUAAAACUGGGAGUCUUGGAUAGUGGAGAGGACGAUGGAAUUGGGGGUGUAGCGGUGGAAUGCGUAGAGAUCCCCAAGAACACCAGUUGCGAAGGCGGUCGUCUGGACACAUAUUGACGCUGAGGCUCGAAAGCAUGGGGAGCAAACAGG
rnacentral:rRNA from 1 species